UUCAUCUAAACUCAACAUGACCUUCAUCAGCGUCUUCAUCUGGAUGUUAUCUGUCUUCUGUUUCAGAGAAUCCAGAGGUGACGUGACAGUCAUUCAAACACCUGCAGUGAAAUCUGUUCAUCCAGGAGACACAGUUACCAUCACCUGUAAAACCAGUCCUGAAGUCUAUCAGGGUUGGGGUUAUCAGCCUCUGUCCUGGUAUCAGCAGAAACCUGGAGAAGCUCCUAAACUCCUGAUUAUAAAAGCAAAUGAGUUACACACAAAUACUCCAUCUAGAUUCAGUGGCAGUGGAUCAAACACAGAUUUCACUCUGAGCAUCAGUGGAGUCAAGAGUGAAGAUGCAGGACAUUAUUACUGUCAGAGUUUUCACAGCAUCAGUGGUAGCAAUGUGUUGACACAGUGAUAAAGAGUCGUAC